GGGGUUGUGGCUCAGUGGUAGCGCACUUGCCUGGCAUGCAUGAGACACUGGGUUCUAUUCUCAGCACCA
rnacentral:tRNA from 1 species